CCAAACUUGGUCAUUUAGAGGAAGUAAAAGUCGUAACAAGGUUACCGUAGGUGAACCUGCGGUAGGAUCAUUAUCAAAUUAUCCAAACCAAAAAAUAUAAUUCAUCUUUGUGUGGAUUAUAAUAGAAGAAGUUUAAAGGAAAUAGAACAAUUUUUUUUAAAAAAGAUUGUUCUAUUUUUUUUUCUCUUCUUCAAAAUUUAUAUAAACUCGUCUUACUUUCUUGUCUGACAAAAAACGAUUUUAUAAUCAUAAAAAAAAAAUACAACUUUCAACAACGGAUCUCUUGGUUCUCGCAUCGAUGAAGAACGCAGC
rnacentral:misc_RNA from 1 species